GGGAGCCGAAAUAAAAUAUAUAUGAUACAUUGUUUGCUUUCCAAGUUUUUCUUUUUUAAAUUUUGGUAUGUUGUAAAAUUAAUUAUAUAAAGAAUAUAUAUGUGUGUGUGUGUGUGUGUGUGUAUUUGUUGUUGUUUAGUCUUGUCCGACUCUUCGUGACCCCAUGGACCAGAGCACGCCAGGCACUCCUGUCUUCCACUGCCUCCCG